rnacentral:lncRNA from 1 species
AAUGUGUUGGUGUUCAGCCUAGCAGAAUGAUCAAAGGGAGAUGUGUCUGGAACAGAGUGAAGACAAAUUGUUGCCGCCACACAGGAUAAGCCAUAAACCAGCCAUGCAGGAAUGAUUGAAAGUCCUCAAACUCCAUCCCCAUCUCCCUAAUAUGAUUACACUUGGUUUUCUUGGCUGAACAGCCAGAGAUAACUAGGAAGGGCUGUUUCUGAAUUCUCUGGAAUCAGUCCCACCACCUCAAGCCCUAGGGAGAGGAAUGAGUCAAACAGAGUGAAAUCAACAAGGUAGCUCCUUGGGGGAUGGGGGAGGGGAAAUUGAUAAAUCCAACUGUUUGCUGAACCUCAGACUUUGUAUCCUAGAAAAUACCACUGGAAUCUAUCAACAGAGGACUCUUAAAGCAAUUGUAUCUGCUGCAGCCUUGACUCCAGAGACCCCUACUGGUUCACAGCUGAUGACUGAAGGAAUUGACACCAAAGAGUCCACAAGUGCCAGGCUCUUAAGGCUCUUUUUGCGGAGAGAUGGCUCUGGCUCUGUUGGUGGAGAGGUGACUGGUGGCAGCGUGCCGGGAAUCUUGGCAUCCUGGCAUGGCUGCAGCUAUUGUCCGGGUUUGGUGGUGAGUGUCCUUGAUUAAAUACUGGGAGAAGCUUAGUAACGUAGUUCCGGUGAGGUGUCUUCCCUGAGCUCUCUCGGAGUUUAGGCUGACUCUUUUUUUUUUUCCUUUACCUUUCCCAAAAUGCCAUCCUCCUAGGAGGCCCCUCAUCUCAGAGGACGCCUCAUGGCUAGAAGGUCUCUGAACUCCCCUUGGCUCAGGCUAGGCCUGAGAAAGCCUAUACCUUUUUCCCUCUCUUCUUCUUCUUAAUUCCUUCCCUCUAUAUUAAUUAAAUCACCAUAAAAUUCCCAAACUGACCUGAGCAUUUUUAUUGGGAUUUGAAUUAAUCCCUGGUGACCAACUAAAUUUAUAUUUCAGUCAGAAACCCCUAAAUUUACCCCCUUACACUUCCUAUCAUUACAUACUUCCUAUAGACAGAGGAUAUUAGAGAGUGGGUGGUUCUCUUGGGCCUCUUUCUUAGGCUUGCAGCCAGCAUGGUGGUGGUGGUAAUCUAAGAGUGGGGAUUUUAAAUGGGCUAAUCAGUCAUGGGCAUGUGGUCUUUAUUUUGUAUACUCUUUAUUCCUUGAUUUCUAAUGAUCAUUUAAUAAAUCUCCUAAAAUAUAAUAUUUUCA